AUGUUACAUGUUACCCACGUGUAUACCCGAAUCAACCCAUUAUCUUAACAGGUGCUUAUAGGGUUACCCGAUAAUGACCCGAUUCGUUAUCGUGUCGAUCUGAACACCUAUUAAUUUCGUGUCGUGUCGUGUCGGGUUAUUGGGUCAUGUCAUGAAUUGCCAGGCCUACAUAAAUAUGAAAAAUCGUCACAUUUGACUAUAUGUGACGAAAUUUCAGCGUCACAAUUAUCGUCACCUAUACAGCGUCACCGAUAGUUUAAGUGACGAAUACUGGAGUCGCCACAUAUUUUCCUUUUACGUGAUGCUUCUUCUGUCACUAUUAUUCUAACAUGCGACGAAAUUAGCGUCACAAAAUACAAAAUUCAGUGACCUAUGUUUUUCGUCUCAUAUCAUACUUAUAAGUGAUGCUUUUUGGGCCACUCAAUAUGAUCCAAUAAUUAUAUAAUUACACUAAGUGAUGUUGAAAUCGUCACAUAUUCUUUUGAUGGGUGAAGCGGCUUAUGUCACAUAUGUUAUAAUCAAAUAACAAUUUAGGAAUAAUAUUUGAGGAAUCCAUUACUUAUUCGUGUUUCGUAAUCUAGAAUAGCAACUCAUAACAAUUAUAAGGUAAUACUUCGCAUUUUCAUUAAUCAACAAUUAAACCACGUAAGUUCGAAUAUGUUCAACAACUAUACAUCCAACAAAAUAACAUAAACAUCCCAAAAUCAAUCUAACUCAUGGUGACCUAUCUUAAUAAUAGCAAUUUGUAAAGAAAGGUACCAAGGCCUAUACAUAGACCGUUUAAGGUACUAAUGAUAGGAGCAUAUUUAUGCGCCUUAGUUAGCUUGUUCUUGUGCAUUUACGUUGUUUUCCUUAGUAAAGUAGUCUUUUAAGCUAGUUUUAUGUGUUUUCAGGUUCUAAGGGAAAAGUAUGCAAAAGGAUGCAUUUUGGAGCCUUUUGGAGCAAUUUAGAGCUUGGAAUGGACAUCAUAUGCUUGGAGCCAAGAGGAUGGACGAAAUUGAAGAUUUGAAGAUGAUGUUUCCUACUUGAAAAAGGUUUCCUAGUCGAAGUAGGAAAGCGCCUAAUUAAAAGAUGAAAUCCUAAUCAACAAAGGAUUCCUAAUUGAAGAAGGAUUCCUAAUCUACGAGGGAUUCCUAGUUGA
rnacentral:lncRNA from 1 species